UACCAGCACCCCGAGUGGUCGGGACGAUUAUUGGGCCUAAAGCAUCCGUAGCCGGUUUUACAAGUCCUCCGUUAAAUCCAGCUGCUUAACAGAUGGGCUGCGGAGGAUACUAUAAGACUAGGAGGCAGGAGAGGCAAGCGGUACUCAGUGGGUAGGGGGUAAAAAUCCGUUGAUCCAUUGAAGACCACCAGUGGCGAAGGCGGCUUGCCAGAAUGCGCUCGACGGUGAGGGAUGAAAGCUGGGGGAGCAAACCGG
rnacentral:rRNA from 1 species